UACGUAGGUGGCAAGCGUUGUCCGGAUUUACUGGGCGUAAAGGGCGUGCAGGCGGUCUGUUAAGUGCAGGGUGAAAGCUCCCGGCUCAACUGGGAGAGGUCCUUGCAUACUGGCGGACUUGAGGGGGGUAGAGGAAAGUGGAAUUCCCGGUGUAGUGGUGAUAUGCGUAGAUAUCGGGAGGAACACCUGUGGCGAGGGCGGCUUUCUGGGCCCUACCUGACGCUGAGACGCGAAAGCGUGGAGAGCGAACCGG
rnacentral:rRNA from 1 species